GAUGAACGCUGGCGGCGUGCCUAAUACAUGCAAGUCGAGCGAACAGACGAGGAGCUUGCUCCUCUGACGUUAGCGGCGGACGGGUGAGUAACACGUGGAUAACCUACCUAUAAGACUGGGAUAACUUCGGGAAACCGGAGCUAAUACCGGCUCAUAUAUUGAACCGCAUGGUUCAAUAGUGAAAGACGGUUUUGCUGUCACUUAUAGAUGGAUCCGCGCCGCAUUAGCUAGUUGGUAAGGUAACGGCUUACCAAGGCAACGAUGCGUAGCCGACCUGAGAGGGUGAUCGGCCACACUGGAACUGAGACACGGUCCAGACUCCUACGGGAGGCAGCAGUAGGGAAUCUUGCGCAAUGGGCGAAAGCCUGACGGAGCAACGCCGCGUGAGUGAUGAAGGUCUUCGGAUCGUAAAACUCUGUUAUUAGGGAAGAACAAAUGUGUAAGUAACUAUGCACGUCUUGACGGUACCUAAUCAGAAAGCCACGGCUAACUACGUG
rnacentral:rRNA from 1 species